rnacentral:rRNA from 1 species
UAAGGGGUUGCUAACUCUGUGAUCCCAUACAGGGAUGGUGCAGAGAGAUUGUAGUAAUACAAUCUAAGAAAAUUCAGCUUAUAUGCGGGAACAUUGUUUAUCGUCCGCUGAUAGUGCCUGUUGAAAAAUGGGCCACGGUAAACAACAAUCCGCAGGGAAGUAUAUUCUUCUAGAAAAAGUACCGAGUGAGGUAGUGGGGUUGCCUACUAUCCUCGGUGGGAGAGAAACGUGUCCUGGAGCAACGCACCGUAGUUGCAAACCAGGAAAACGGACUCGGACCACAUAACCCGCCGCGGGAUACUCGGUACCAUUUUUCCAGGAGAAUAUACCCCUCAGAGACUUGGUCAAUUUAAUGGCCAGAUGGUAAGCGGUGAAGCUACUUCGUAGCGGAUGACUUACCAUAAUACGCGAACAUCCUAUUCGAAAGAAAGGAUGAGGAGAUAGUCCAUAGAUUAAAGUUAAAGAUGAAAAUCUUUAUACUAUCGCCAGCAGCAGCGGUAAUACAGAGACCCCGAGCGUUAUCCGGAAUUACUGGGCGUAAAGGGCAAGUAGUCGGUGAUGAUAGUCUGAUGUUAAAUCUCACUGCCCAACGGUGAGGCCGCAUGAGAAACGUCAUCACUAGAGCGAGUCAGAGGCAAGCGGAACGUGCGGUGUAGCGGUGAAAUGCAUUGAUAUCGCACGGAACACCAAACGCGAAGGCAGCUUGCUGGGACUUUGCUGACGAUCAAUUGCGAAAGCGUGGGCAUAAAAAAGGAUUAGAUACCCUUGUAUUCCACGCCCUAAACGAUGCAGACUAGCUAUUGGGGGCAUCGACCCCUCCAGUGGCUUAGCUAACGCGUUAAGUCUGCCGCCUGGGAAGUACGAUCGCAAGAUUAAAACUCAAAGGAAUAGGCGGGAGUUCGCACAAGCGGUGGAUCAUGUGGUUCAAUUCGACACAGAGCGAAAAACCUCACCAAGGCUUGAAAUCCAACUGCAAGCCCGCAGAAACGCGGGCCGCCUUCGAGGGUGUUGGACAGGUGUUGCACGGCUGAAAUUAUCGGCCACCGAGAAAGCAAUUUCUCGAAAAAAACACCAACUCAUAACGGUGAAACCCGACCCCAUUUGUGUUAAAAUGAAUGGAUGGGCAAUACCGUGGGAAGUCCCAGUGCAAAUUUCUUCAACUUUCCUUCAUCACCCGAGGACUAUUAUAUUCUUGGUCUUUGGUGUGCUGAUGGAUAUCAUUGGAGCAGUAGUAUUGG